GGACAUGCUUAAAAUAACAAAAUGAGGAGAGCUCCAUAACAGAACCCGAGAAUACCAAAAGCGUCUCUGUACUUGACUUGCUGGAAUAUUUUUAGCUUCAGCCCCACCCAUGAACUUUAGAAAGGUUUGUAGAAAUUGGGCUCCUUCAAGGUCCUAGGCACCUCAUAUGUGCCAGACGUUGUUGAUACGCUGGAUUUACUAUGGUGAGCUCAACACUUCCUUCCCAGGAGGAGGAAAGCAAGCAUUAAAGGCCAAUGGCAAUAAAACAGCAAAUCAAGACACGGCCACAACUUUAGGGUCUAGUGAGUGUUACUAAGCAGCAAGAGGAGUUGAUGUGUUGGCCGGUGAUGAGGGCGGGGAAGAGGAGCUACUGUACUUGAGGUGUUGGGGAGUCCGGCUGAGACCUGAGGAAUACGUAGGAGCCUGUCACGAGAACACCUGAAGGUAGUUUUCCAGCAAAGGGAAAAGCUCCUGCAGAGGCAGAUCCGAGCCAGGUGUGCCCAAGGACCCAGAAGAAGGCCUGUGUGGCUGGAGGGAGCGGGGUGAGGAGGAUCCAGGGGUUUGAGAGAAGCCCCCGCACUUGGAGGGAGGCAGGCCCAGCACCACUUCCCACCACACGCCCCCACCAGCACCUGGCCCACCUCCUUGGGCCCUGAGGACACUAAGUCGUCUGUACACAAGCCCUGUCUUCUGAGGAGCUCCGAGAUCAGAGACAGAAGAUGCUUGUGCCAGGAGCUGUAAAGCGUGAAUCAGAGGAGCAAGCAGCCAGGGGCCAGAGGAUCAAGUUUGCUGGCUGCUAGAACGGGCCAGGCAAGAAAGUGGUGGGGAAGUGGAGGUAGGGCCCUGGGAGAGAAACCCAGUCCUCCGACCUCCAGGUGCAAGGAGACGACCUCCAGGUGCAAGGAGACGCAGAGCCGGCCUGGGUGGGAUGGGAGAGCCAGUCCGGCCUAAAUCCAAGCUCUUGAGUCUGACCUGAACGUGGCUUUCGCUGUGUCUUCUUAAUUCCUUUAUCUCAUUGGCUCCUUUCGGAAAGCUUGUACUUUGUGCUGAAGGAUUUAGGACUCUCCUUCUCCUUCCCCUUCCACCUUCCGAGAGGAUUAUCUAUUAAUCCAAAUGCUGACAGUCAUUCAUUUCCAUUACAAAAAUAGCCCUACUCUAUAACGGGAUCCUUCCUCGCUGCAACUGGAUGAGCAUUUUAAAUCGAGCCUGAGAAGCAAAGGGCUCUCAGCACUCUCUUGAUUCCACGUUUAUUGGAUGAGCCUUUACCAUGCUUUACAUUAACAGAAUGUAGCGGACAUCAAAUUGAGAUGAAAAAAUAAGCACACCAGUGAGAAUGGGGAAAAUGAACAAGGCAGGAAACCACAAAUGCUGGAGAGGAUGCGGAGAAAAGGGAACCCUCCUGCACUGUUGGUGGGAAUGGGAACUGGUGCAGCCACUCUGGAA